CUUGACUAUGAGGAUACUUUCAGUCCAGUUGUCAAGCCCACAACCAUUCGCCUCUUGUUGUCCUUGGCGGUUACUCGUGGAUGGUCUCUUCAACAAUUGGAUGUCCAGAAUGCCUUUCUUCAUGGUGUGUUGGAGGAGGAAGUUUACAUGAGGCAGCCACCAGGUUUUGUUGAUCCAGAUCAUCCCCAUCAUCUUUGCCGCUUGGACAAAGCACUAUAUGGUCUGAAACAGGCUCCUCGUGCUUGGCAUGCUCGUCUUGCGACUGCUCUACGUGUUCAUGGUUUUGUUCCCUCUACGAUAGAUACAUCACUGUUUCUCUUCCAGCGACCAGAUGUCACCAUAUAUCUUCUUGUUUAUGUUGAUGGCAUCAUUCUUGUCAGUUCCUCAGUGCUUGCUGCCGAUCAUCUUCUA
rnacentral:rRNA from 1 species